rnacentral:rRNA from 1 species
GACGAACGCUGGCGGCGUGCUUAACACAUGCAAGUCGAACGGAAAGGCCCUGCUUUCGUGGGGUGCUCGCGUGGCGAACGGGUGAGUAACACGUGAGUAUCCUGCCCUUGACUUUGGGAUAACUUCAGGAAACUGGUGCUAAUACCGGCUAGGAGCUCCUGCUGCAUGGUGGGGGUUGGACAGUUUCGGCGGGUGGGGAUGGACUCGCGGCUUAUCAGCUUGUUGGUGGGGUAGUGGCUUACCAAGGCUUUGACGGGUAGCCGGCCUGAGAGGGUGACCGGGCACAUUGGGACUGAGAUACGGCCCAGACUCCUACGGGAGGCAGCAGUGGAGAAUAUUGCACAAUGGGCGGAAGCCUGAUGCAGCAACGCCGCGUGCGGGAUGACGGCCUUCGGGGUGGAAACCGCUUUCGCCUGUGACGAAGCGUUAGUGACGGUAAUAGGUAAAGAAGCACCGGCUAACUACGUG